rnacentral:sRNA from 1 species
GCCGGGCAUGGUGGCACAUGCCUGUAAUCCCAGCUGCUUGGGAGAUUGAGGCUGGAGGAUUUCGAGUUCAAAGCCAGCCUUAGCAAAAUCAAAGCACUAAGUAAUUCAGUGAGAACCUGUCUCUA